rnacentral:rRNA from 1 species
AAGGGAUAGCAGAUGGCCUUGUUUAUCUGCAUCUGCAUUCUCAGACGUGCAUUGUCCACAGGGAUCUGAAACCAAGUAAUCUCCUGUUGGAUCCUGAAAUGAAUGUUAAAAUUUCUGAUUUUGGUCUGGCUAAAAAGCUAGCUCCAGAUGCAACUGCGGAAGAUAUUGUAUGCGGCACAUAUGGCUAUGCAGAUCCUGAAUAUGUUACUACCGGAAUGUUAUCACAGAAGGCAGAUGUAUACAGCUUUGGAAUCGUAGCUCUCGAGAUAAUAUGUGGAAACAACCCUUGGUUUUAUAUGGUGAAGGCGAAGAAGGGCUCAUCUCCAGGAUCACUUCCUGAUCAUGUAAGUAAUUUUGUAUUAUCAUGACAUAAUCUGAUUCACAGUGAUGCGUAGCUCCUAUCGGGUGA